CAUCAGCUGAUUGGCAUCAGCUGCGUCAUUCAUGCUUCACCAUCAGUGGCUCAUUCAUCAGCUACUUGGCUAUCAGCGGACUCCUAGCAACUACUAACAUCUAUAUUCUUCGACCAAUCUCUUACAUGAAAUACCAGAGUAGAUGUGCAUUAUUUAGCUUUGGAACUACUACAAGUUGUUCUUUUCUCUCACUUUAGAUGCUUUGUGCUAACUGUAGUUACUGCUACAGUGUUAUCAUGAGCACUCAUGUACAGUAUGUGAACUACUGAGGACAUGUGGAGGACUAUUUAUCAUUUAACUGGUUUAAGUUAAUAGUUGAGAAAAUGUUUUUGAUUGCCUCAAUAUGGUGAAGGAAAAGGGGAGAGUGCCUUGAUGUCUGACUGACAUUUUAAACUUGAACCAGCUAAGAGGCAUAAAUCCACCAUAAGAUGUGUCCCUACCCAAUCAGCUUUACUCUUUUCCCCUGCGACCCCGCUAAGGCCCGCCUCCUGCAAGAGUUCAACAGCAAACUGACAAGUGAGAGGCACACAGCAGCCCAGGUCUGGGAGCCAAUAAUCAUGCAGGUUGUUGAGGCAGUAGCCAGUAGGUGAAGUAAGUAGUUUCUUCAGCUCUGAGGGAAUCAAACCAGAGAGAAAAGAAGUCGAGUGGUUGGACCAGUUCUUGGGGUUUGUUUCUUUUCAGAGCUUUUGACGUUUGACCAUUUUCUUAAAUUUGGGUUUCCGCUUCCGGCAAUUGUUUUAAUGUCAAACUCAGCAUUUGGUGAGUAAGUGAGUUUGUCGCUG